CCUACGGGAGGCUGCAGUAGGGAAUCUUUCACAAUGGGCGAAAGCCUGAUGGAGCAACGCCGCGUGCAGGAUGAAGGCCUUCGGGUUGUAAACUGCUUUUAUAAGCGAGAAAUAUGAUGGUAACUUAUGAAUAAGGAUCGGCUAACUACGUGCCAGCAGCCGCGGUCAUACGUAGGAUCCGAGCAUUAUCCGGAGUGACUGGGUGUAAAGAGUUGCGUAGGUGGCAUAAUAAGUAGCUAGUGGAAUCUGGUGGCUCAACCAUUCAGACUAUUAGCAAAACUGGUAAGCUCGAGAGCGUGAGAGGUAAGUGGAAUUUCUAGUGUAGGAGUGAAAUCCGUAGAUAUUAGGAGGAACACCAAUGGCGUAGGCAGGUUACUGGGACGGUACUGACACUGAGGCACGAAAGCGUAGGGAGCAAACGGGAUUAGAUACCCCAGUAGUC
rnacentral:rRNA from 1 species